rnacentral:lncRNA from 1 species
UGUCAGCACAAUCUGCAGUUACACUAACAAAAAUGCUGCAAAAAACAAAGAAUUAUGGAAAAAUUACACAUGGACUAACAUAGAGGAGGAUCUACACAAGUUUUUUACAUCAUGUUUUACAUCAUGCAUCAUUUACAUCAUGUUUUUUUGUAGUGGCAUAAAUAAAAAGUGACAUUUGUGAGACUAUACAGUGUUUUGUAAAUAAUUUUACAAAGAACACCUGGGCCAUUGCCUGCAUUUUGAUGUCAAUAGAGGUAAAUUACUAUGUUCUUUGUUAAAAAUUUGCAUAUGUUUUGAAGUUUACAAUUUUUAUUUGAAGUUUAAGUUUUAAAAACAGUUCAUCACACAUAUUUGUGGUUUUCACAGUAAAAACGUUAAUUUUUUCCACUCGGAUUUUAUGUUUUGUGUGUGAAUUUGGGUCCAAUGUGUAAAUAUAGUAUGUCAAAAUGAUAAAAUAACUGUAAAUUGACACAGGUGAGGCUGUGCUGAAAAAAAUGAUACCAGGCAAGGCAAGGUAAAAAUUUUAAGAGGAAAUAUAAAAGGUAAAAUCUAAAGUAGUCAAAAACGGCCAAUAGUGACUCACAGACUCCACAGACAAGUCCCUUUGGCGCCACUCAGUGGGCAAAACUACUUUGUCUACUGUAAUGUAUAUUUGGGUCAUCUUUGGCGCCCCCUAAAACGUAAACCGUGGGGUGCAGCGUCAUGAUUUUUACAACUUUGAAUGGCCAUGGAGUGUAGAUUGGCCUGAGCAAAUUUGGUGUCAGUGGGACGAAGGCCUUAGGAGGAGUUAGCGAAAUUCCAAUGUGUGCGAAUUGGCAAGAAAUGCAAAAUAGCCCUUUUACCGUACAUUAUACAGAUACGCGCUCUUUGACUUUUUCGUAGAUCUAAUUGAGAUACACAUGAUUGUCAAUUUUUGUGUCAUUUUGCCAAAGCGUACAGGCGUGACAGUCAACAAUGUGUAUUUUCACCUUAGGAGACAAGAAAAAAUGGACUUUUUUCUCCUGCCAUGGGGGGGCGCUCUUUUAGGGAGUAAAAAUUCCUUCACAAAUGUGUUGAUGGCUGGACAUUGCAUCAUCCUAGAAAACUUUUGGCCAGUGAGGACAAAAAUAAAAAGUUAAAAGACUUUUAAAAAUGUGGAUUUUUGGGUUAUCUUUGGCGCCCCCUAGAACGUAAACCGUGGGGUGCAGCGUCAUGAUUUGAAUAACUUUUAAUGGCCAUGGGGUGUAAUUUGGCCUGAGCAAAUGUGGUGCCGGUGGAACGAAAGCCUUCGGAGGAGUUAGCGAAAUUCCAAUAUGUGCGAAUCGGCAAAAAAUGCGGAAUAACCCUUUAACCGUACAUUAGACAGAUACGCGCGCAUGGACUUUUUUGUAGAUCUUAUUGAGAUACAUGUGUGUGUCAAUUUUUGUGUCAUUUUGACAAAGCGUACAGGCGUGACACUCAACAAUGUGUAUUUUCACCUUAGGGGACAAGAAAAAAUGGACUUUUUUCUCCUGCCAUGGGGGGGCGCUCUUUUGGGGAGUAAAAAUUCCUUCACAAAUGUGUUGAUGGCUGGACAUUGCAUCAUCCUAGAAAACUUGGAGGCCAGUGAGGGCAAAAAUAAAAAGUUAUAAGACUUUUAAAAAUGUGGAUUUUAGGGUUAUCUUUGGCGCCCCGUAGAACCUAAACCGUAGGGUGCAGCGUCAUGAUUUGAAUAACUUUUAAUGGCCAUGGGGUGUAGAUUGGCCUGAGCAAAUGUGGUGCCGGUGGAACGAAAGCCUUCGGAGGAGUUAGCGAAAUUCCAAUGUGUGCGGAUCGGCAAAAAAUGCGCAAUAACCCUUUAACCGUACAUUUGACAGAUACGCCCGCACUGACUUUUUUGUAGAUCUUAUUGAGAUACAUGUGCGUGUCAAUUUUUGUGUAAUUUUGAAAAAGCGUACAGGCGUGACAGUCAAUAGUGUGAAUUUUCACCUUAGGGGGCGCUAUGGAGCCAUUUUGCAUUUUCUUGUUUGGGCGACUUCGGAAUAUCAAAUUUUUCACCAGGCCCGGUCGUCCUGCCAAAUUUCAUGAGUUUUCGCCAGUGGGAAGUGGGCCAUUUUCCAGUUCAAAGGGGAGGAAAAAGAAAAAAGAAACAAAGAAAAACCACUUGGGGAAUAAUAGGGCUCUCGCAGCUGCUUAGCAGCUACGCUCGGGCCCUAAGAAACAAAGAAAAACCACUUGGGGAAUAAUAGGGCUCUCGCAGCUGCUUAGCAGCUACGCUCGGGCCCUAAUAACAAAAGAAGGAAACUACAGGAACAAGAGGGCUCUCGCAGCUGCUUAGCAGCUACGCUCGGGCCCUAAUAAUAACAAAAGAAGAAUCCAUCAGGAACAAGAGGGCUCUCGCAGCUGCUUAGCAGCUACGCUCGGGCCCUAAAAAGUCUGGACCAUGAGUGAGGGCACAAACACAGCUAUGAUAUAUCGAAAUGGCAGGUUGCUCCUCCUUACGGUGUUGCCUGGAGAGCGAUGCGAUUGAGCCAUUGAGCGAUGGGCAGGGUUAACUUGACUUUUUCUCCUGCCUUGGGGGGGGGGGGGGGAUUUGGAUUCUUUUAAGAAUGUGGAUUUUUGGGUCAUCUUUGGCGCCCCCUAGAACGUAAACCGUGGGGUGCAGCGUCAUGAUUUUUACAACUUUGAAUGGCCAUGGGGUGUAGAUUGGCCUGAGCAAAUUUGGUGUCAGUGGGACGAAAGCCUUAGGAGGAGUUAGCCACAUUCCAAUGUGUGCGAAUCGGCAAAAAAUGCAAAAUAGCUCUUUAACCGUACAUUUGACAGAUACGCGCGCAUUGACUUUUUUGUAGAUAUUAUUGAGAUACAUAUGUGUGUCAAUUUUUGUGUCAAUAUGAUAAAGCGUACAGGCGUGACAGUCAAUAGUGUGAAUUUCCACCUUAGGGGACAAGAAAAAAUUGACUUUUUUCUCCUGCCAUGGGGGGGGCGCUCUUUUGGGGAGUAAAAAUUCCUUCACAAAUGUGUUGAUGGCUGGACAUUGCAUCAUCCUAGAAAACUUGGAGGCCAGUGAGGACAAAAAUAAAAAGUUAUAAGACUUUUAAAUAUGUGGAUUUUAGGGUUAUCUUUGGCGCCCCCUAGAACCUAAACCGUGGGGUGCAGCGUCAUGAUUUGUACAACUUUUAAUGGCCAUGGGGUGUAGAUUGGCCUGAGCAAAUGUGGUGCCGGUGGAACGAAAGCCUUAGGAGGAGUUAGCGAAAUUCCAAUGUGUGCGGAUCGGCAAAAAAUGCGGAAUAACCCUUUCACCGUACAUUUGACAGAUACGCGCGCAUUGACUUUUUCGUAGAUCUUAUUGAGAUACAUGUGUGUGUCAAUUUUUGUGUCAUUUUGCCAAAGCGUACAGGUGUUAAACUCAACAAUGUGUAUUUUCACCUUAGGGGACAAGAAAAAAUGGACUUUUUUCUCCUGCCAUGGGGGGGCGCUCUUUUGGGGAGUAAAAAUUCCUUCACAAAUGUGUUGAUGGCUGGACAUUGCAUCAUCCUAGAAAACUUGGAGGCCAGUGAGGGCAAAAAUAAAAAGUUAUAAGACUUUUAAAUAUGUGGAUCUUAGGGUUAUCUUUGGCGCCCCCUAGAACCUAAACCCUGGGGUGCAGCGUCAUGAUUUGAAUAACUUUUAAUGGCCAUGGGGUGUAGAUUGGCCUGAGCAAAUGUGGUGCCGGUGGAAUGAAAGCCUUCGGAGGAGUUAGCGAAAUUCCAAUGUGUGCGGAUCGGCAAAAAAUGCGAAAUAACCCUUUAACCGUACAUUUGACAGAUACGCCCGCACUGACUUUUUUGUAGAUCUUAUUGAGAUACAUGUGUGUGUCAAUUUUUGUGUCAUUUUGACAAAGCGUACAGGCGUGACAGUCAAUAGUGUGAAUUUUCACCUUAGGGGGCGCUAUGGAGCCAUUUUGCAUGUUCUUGUUUGGGCGACUUCGGAAUAUCAAAUUUUUCACCAGGCCCGGUCGUCCUGCCAAAUUUCAUGAGUUUUCGCCAGUGGGAAGUGGGCCAUUUUCCAGUUCAAAGGGGAGGAAAAAUAAUAACUAGGGCCCCGGUGGGGCACUGUCGGGCCCGAGCCGCGUCGCGCCGCCCCCAGCGCGACCACCUCCCCCUCCCGAUCGCGUCACACUCAAGGUCCAAAGAUGGUGUGCGCACUUGUCUGUGGUCAUUUCCCAUUAUAAUGAAUGGGAGGCGCAGUUUCUACCAAAACACUCGCUGCAGACAAACUACAUAUCCUAUUUGAAAAAAGUCUGGACCAUGAGUGAGGGCACAAACACAGCUAGGAUAUAUCCAAACGGCAAGUUGCUCCUCGUUACGGUGUUGCCGGGAGAGCGAUGCGAUUGAGCCAUUGAGUGAUGGGCAGGAAAAACUUGACUGUUUCUCCUGCCAUGGGGGAUGGGGGAUGGGGGAUGGGGGGGGGGGGAGAUGUGGAUUCUUUUAAGAAUGUGGAUAUUUGGGUCAUCUUUGGCGCCCCCUAGAACGUAAACCCUGGGGUGCACCGUCAUGAUUUUUACAACUUUUAAUGGCCAUGGGGUGUAGAUUGGCCUGAGCAAAUUUGGUGUCAGUGGGAUGAAAGCCUUAGGAGGAGUUAGCCACAUUCCAAUGUGUGCGAAUCGGCAAAAAAUGCAAAAUAGCCCUUUAACCGUACAUUUGACAGAUACGCGUGCAUUGACUUUUUCGUAGAUGUUAUUGAGACACACGUGAUUGUCAAAUUUUGUGUCAAUAUGACAAAGCGUACAGGCGUGACACUCAACAAUGUGUAUUUUCACCUUAGGGGACAAGAAAAAAUGGACUUUUUUCUCCUGCCAUGGGGGGGCGCUCUUUUGGGGAGUAAAAAUUCCUUCACAAAUGUGUUGAUGGCUGGACAUUGCAUCAUCCUAGAGAACUUGGAGGCCAGUGAGGACAAAAAUAAAAAGUUAUAAGACUUUUAAAUAUGUGGAUUUAGGGUUAUAUUUGGCGCCCCCUAGAACCUAAACCGUGGGGUGCAGCAUCAUGAUUUGAAUAACUUUCAAUGGCCAUGGGGUGUAGAUUGGCCUGAGCAAAUGUGGUGCCGGUGGAACGAAAGCCUUAGGAGGAGUUAGCGAAAUUCCAAUGUGUGCGCAUCGGCAAAAAAUGCGAAAUAACCCUUUAACCGUACAUUUGACAGAUACGCGGCAUUGACUUUUUCGUAGAUCUUAUUGAGAUACAUGUGUGUGUCAAUUUUUGUGUCAAUAUGACAAAGCGUACAGGCCUGACAGUCAAUAGUGUGAAUUUUCACCUUAGGGGACAAGAAAAAAUGGACUUUUUUCUUCUGCCAUGGGGGGGCGCUCUUUUGGGGAGUAAAAAUUCCUUCACAAAUGUGUUGAUGGCUGGACAUUGCAUCAUCCUAGAAAACUUGGAGGCCAGUGAGGACAAAAAUAAAAAGUUAUAAGACUUUUAAAUAUGUGGAUUUUAGUGUUAUCUUUGGCGCCCCCUAGAACCUAAACCUUGGGGUGCAGCGUCAUGAUUUUGAUAACUUUUAAUGGCCACGGGGUGUAGAUUGGCCUGAGCAAAUGUGGUGCCGGUGGAACGAAAGCCUUAGGAGGAGUUAGCCACAAUCCAAUGUGUGCGGAUCGGCAAAAAAUGCGGAAUAACCCUUUAACCGUACAUUUGACAGAUACGCGCGCAUUGACUUUUUCGUAGAUCUUAUUGAGUUACAUGUGUGUGUCAAUUUUUGUGUCAUUUUGACAAAGCGUAUAGGCGUGACACUCAACAAUGUGUAUUUUCACCUUAGGGGACAAGAAAAAAUGGACUUUUUUCUUCUGCCAUGGGGGGGCGCUCUUUUGGGGAGUAAAAAUUCCUUCACAAAUGUGUUGAUGGCUGGACAUUGCAUCAUCCUAGAAAACUUGGAGGCCAGUGAGGACAAAAAUAAAAAGUUAUAAGACUUUUAAAUAUGUGGAUUUUAGUGUUAUCUUUGGCGCCCCCUAGAACCUAAACCUUGGGGUGCAGCGUCAUGAUUUUGAUAACUUUUAAUGGCCACGGGGUGUAGAUUGGCCUGAGCAAAUGUGGUGCCGGUGGAACGAAAGCCUUCGGAGGAGUUAGCGAAAUUCCAAUGUGUGCGGAUCGGCAAAAAAUGCGAAAUAACCCUUUAACCGUAAUUUUGACAGAUACGGCCGCACUGACUUUUUUGUAGAUCUUAUUAAGAUACAUAUGUGUGUCAAUUUUUGUGUCAAUAUGACAAAGCGUACAGGCGUGACAGUCAAUAGUGUGAAUUUCCACCUUAGGGGGCGCUAUGGAGCCAUUUUGCAUUUUAUUGUUUGGGCGACUUCAGAAUAUCGAAUUUUUCACCAGGCCCGGUCGUCCUGCCAAAUUUCAUGAGUUUUCGCCAGUGGGAAGUGGGCCAUUUUCCAGUUCAAAGGGGAGGAAAAAGAAGAAAGAAAGAAAGAACUAGGGCCCCGGUGGGGCACUGUCGGGCCCGAGCCGCGUCGUGCCGCCCCCAGCGUGACCGCCUCCCCCUCCCGAUCGCGUCACACUCAAGGUCCAAAGAUGGUGUGCGCACUUGUCUGUGGUCAUUUCGCAUUAUAAUGAAUGGGAGGCGCAGUUUCUACCAAAACACUCGCUGCAGACAAACUUCAUGUCCUAUUUGAAAAAAGUCUGGACCAUGAGUGAGGGCACAAACACAGCUGGGAUAUAUCCAAAUGGCAGGUUGCUCCUCGUUACGGUGUUGCCUGGAGAGCGAUGCGAUUGAGCCAUUGAGCGAUGGGCAGGAAAAACUUGACUUUUUCUCCUACCAUGGGGGGGGAGAAUGUGGAUUCUUUUAAGAAUGUGGAUUUUUUGGUCAUCUUUGGCGCCCCCUAGAACGUAAACCGUGGGGUGCAGCGUCAUGAUUUUUACAACUUUGAAUGGCCAUGGGGUGUAGAUUGGCCUGAGCAAAUUUGGUUUCAGUGGGACGAAAGCCUUAGGAGGAGUUAGCCACAUUCCAAUGUGUGCGAAUCUGCAAAAAAUGCAAAAUAGCCCUCUAACCGUACAUUUGACAGAUACGCACCCAUUGACUUUUUCGUAGAUCUUAUUGAGAUACACGUGAUUGUCAAAUUUUGUGUCAAUAUGACAAAGCGUACAGGUGUCACACUCAACAAUGUGAAUUUUCACCUUACGGGACAAGAAAAAAUUGACUUUUUUCUCCUGCCAUGGGGGGGCGCUCUUUUGGGGAGUAAAAAUUCCUUCACAAAUGUGUUGAUGGCUGGACAUUGCAUCAUCCUAGAAAACUUGGAGGGCAGUGAGGACAAAAAUAAAAAGUUAUAAGACUUUGAAAUAUGUGGAUUUUAGGGUUAUCUUUGGCGCCCCCUAGAACCUAAACCGUGGGGUGCAGCGUCAUGAUUUGAAUAACUUUUAAUGGCCAUGGGGUGUAGAUUGGCCUGAGCAAAUGUGGUGCCGGUGGAACGCCAGCCUUAGGAGGAGUUAGCGAAAUUCCAAUGUGUGCGGAUCAGCAAAAAAUGCGGAAUAACCCUUUAACCGUACAUUUGACAGAUAUGCGCGCAUUGACUUUUUCGUAGAUCUUAUUGAGAUACAUGUGUGUGUCAAAUUUUGUGUCAAUAUGACAAAGCGUAAAGGCGUGACACUCAACAAUGUGUAUUUUCACCUUAGGGGACAAGAAAAAAUUGACUUUUUUCUCCGGCCAUGGGGGGGCGCUCUUUUGGGGAGUAAAAAUUCCUUCACAAAUGUGUUGAUGGCUGGACAUUGCAUCAUCCUAGAAAACUUGGAGGCCAGUGAGGGCAAAAAUAAAAAGUUAUAAGACUUUUAAAUAUGUGGAUUUUAGGGUUAUCUUUGGCGCCCCCUAGAACCUAAACCGUGGGGUGCAGCGUCAUGAUUUGAAUAACUUUUAAUGGCCAUGGGGUGUAGAUUGGCCUGAGCAAAUGUGGUGCCGGUGGAAAGAAAGCCUUCGGAGGAGUUAGCGAAAUUCCAAUGUGUGCGGAUCGGCAAAAAAUGCGGAAUAACCCUUUAACCGUACAUUUGACAGAUACGCCCGCACUGACUUUUUUGUAGAUCUUAUUGAGAUACAUAUGUGUGUCAAUUUUUGUGUCAUUUUGACAAAGCGUACAGGCGUGACAGUCAAUAGUGUGAAUUUUCACCUUAGGGGGCGCUAUGGAGCCAUUUUGCAUUUUCUUGUUUGGGCGACUUCGGAAUAUCAAAUUUUUCACCAGGCCCGGUCAUCCUGCCAAAUUUCAUGAGUUUUCGCCAGUGGGAAGUGGGCCAUUUUCCAGUUCAAAGGGGAGGAAAAAGAAGAAAGAAAGAAACAAAGAAAAACCACUUGGGGAAUAAUAGGGCUCUCGCAGCUGCUUAGCAGCUACGCUCGGGCCCUAACUAGGACCCCGUUGGGGCACUGGCGGGCCCGAGCCUUGUCGGAUGGAGCUUUGGAUGGAGCUUCAUGGUUGUCUUUUGGAGAAAUGACCAGUCAAGUUGUGUUUGAAAUUUGAUUUUUUUUUCAGGGGCAAAAGGAGCCUCUGCAUUCUUGUCAAAUAUGUAAAUAGCAUGUUUUUGCAGGUGCUAAAAACCAGACUCUGAGUGUGUGUGUGUGUGUGUGUGUGUGUGUGUGUGUGUGUGUGUGUGUGUGUGUGUGUGUCUGUGUGUGCGUUCAAGUCACAUGACAUAUUUAACCGGAUGUAGCUGCAAGACGGAGCCUCGUUGACUCUCCGUUUCAACUUAUCUCAAAAGUGAGGACCUCAACCUAUAUACCAGUUUUUAAAUUGUGUUGAUAGGCCAAAUAAAACCAGAGUUAUGAUAAAUUAUGUCCGCGAUACUUUUUUUCUGCUUAUUUUGAUCACGUUCGGCGCUCGAUCGCGCUGUAUGAGACAGGAAAACAUAGCAUGCAGACAUUAGCGACAGGUCUUACAGGCGGAAAAGGCUUGCCAAAAAAAAAAAAAACACACCACAACAUCUCUCCUAUUGGUGGAAAACUUCACCACAACAACCAAUCCAAAAUUAUAUGGUGACUGAUUGACAAGGGGAGGGCGCUUACGUUCUUCCUGCAAUAUGAGAAGGGAGGGAGGGACUCUCAGCAGGGAUGCAGUCUGGGACACGUAGUUGCAAACCUAGCGACUUUGUUGUUAGAUUCAAUGACUUUUCAGACCCCCUAACGACUUUUUUUAGAAAGAAAGGGACUUUUAUCGACUUCUUCUGGAGUUUAGAGACUCUGACAUGAAGCAGGCUUUCCUUACUGAGGAGUUAGCAACGCUGCUAAGGGUGCAGAGCCACACAUGCGCUCAGAGCUCUGCAUGGGAGACUGAAGCUGACAGAGCUGCAGCAGUUAGCAGGUUUCACCCUCAGAGACCACCAGGGGUUCAUGUUGAGGCAUUUUAAUUUUUUUUUUUUUUUGUGCCAUAGACACUGUCAGCACAAUCUGCAGUUACACUAACAAAAAUGCUGCAAAAAACAAAGAAUUAUGGAAAAAUUACACAUGGACUGACAUAGAGGAGGAUCUACACAAGUUUUUUACAUCAUGUUUUACAUCAUGCAUCAUUUACAUCAUGUUUUUUUGUAGUGGCAUAAAUAAAAAGUGACAUUUGUGAGACUAUACAGUGUUUUGUAAAUAAUUUUGCAAAGAACGCCUGGGCCAUUGCCUGCAUUUUGAUGUAAAUAGAGGUAAAUUACUAUGUUCUUUGUUAAAAAUUUGCAUAUGUUUUGAAGUUUACAAUUUUUAUUUGAAGUUUAAGUUUUAAAAACAGUUCAUCACACAUAUUUGUGGUUUAAUUUCACAUUAAUUUCCAUAUUGUAUAAAUGACUGGAAAAAACUUGAGCCCCUGCCCCUGUAUAAUCAUGUGCACGUCCCUGUUCUAGCUCCAAGGUGAAUCUUCACUGCUCAUGUUCUCCUCAGAAAUAGUCACCUCACUCCCCUCAGGUUACUGUACACAUGCACCAACUAUCUGCUUCAGGUUUGAAAUGGAGCUUCAUGGUUGUCUUUUGGAGAAAUGAACAGUCAAGUUGUGUUUGAAAUUUGAUUUUUUUCAGGGGCAAAAGGAAGCCUCUGCAUUCUUGUCAAAUAUGUAAACAGCAUGUUUUUGCAGGUGCUAAAAAACAGACUCUGAGUGUGUGUGUGUGUCUGUGUGUGUGUGUGUCUGUGUGUGUGUGUAUGUUGGUGUGUGUGUAUAUGUGUGUGUAUCCUGCAGUACUCUGUACUCCUGCAGUGGCCAAAAAAACCUUUUAAGAAUGUGGAUUUUUGGGUCAUCUUUGGCGCCCCCUAGAACUGCAGUACUCUGUACUCCUGCAGUGGCCAAAAUGACUUUUAAGAAUGUGGAUUUUUGGGUCAUCUUUGGCGCCCCCUAGAACGUAAACCGUGGGGUGCAGCGUCAUGAUUUUUACAACUUUGAAUGGGCAUGGGGUGUAGAUUGCCCUGAGCAAAUUUGGUAUCGGUGGGACGAAAGCCUUAGGAGGAGAUAGCCACAUUCCAAUGUGUGCGAAUCGGCAAAAAAUGCAAAAUAGCCCUUUAACCGUACAUUAUAAAGAUACGCGCUCUUUGACUUUUUCGUAGAUCUAAUUGAGAUACACAUGAUUGUCAAUUUUUGUGUCAAUAUGACAAAGCGUUCAGGCGUGACACUCAACAAUGUGUAUUUUCAUGUAAGGGGACAAGAAAAAAUGGACUUUUUUCUCCUACCAUGGGGGGCGCUCUUUUGGGGAGUAAAAAUUCCUUCACAAAUGUGUUGAUGGCUGGACAUUGCAUCAUCCUAGAGAACUUGGAGGCCAGUGAGGACAAAAAUAAAAAGUUAUAAAACAUUUAAGAAUGUGGAUUUUUGGGUUAUUUUUGGCGCCCCCUAGAACCUAAACCAUGGGGUGCAGCAUCAUGAUUUGAAUAACUUUUAAUGGCCAUGGGGUGUAGAUUGGCCUGAGCAAAUGUGGUGCCGGUGGAACGAAAGCCUUCGGAGGAGUUAGCGAAAUUCCAAUGUGUGCGUAUCGGCAAAAAAUGCGGAAUAACCCUUUAACUGUACAUUUGACAGAUACGCGCGCAUGGACUUUUUUGUAGAUCUUAUUGAGUUACAUGUGUGUGUUAAUUUUUGUGUCAUUUUGACAAAGCGUAUAGGCGUGACACUCAAGAAUGUGUAUUUUCACCUUAGGGGACAAGAAAAAAUGGACUUUUUUCUCCUGCCAUGGGGGGGCGCUCUUUUGGGGAGUAAAAAUUCCUUCACAAAUGUGUUGAUGGCUGGACAUUGCAUCAUCCUAGAAAACUUGGAGGCCAGUGAGGACAAAAAUAAAAAGUUAUAAGACUUUUAAAUAUGUGGAUUUUAGUGUUAUCUUUGGCGCCCCCUAGAACCUAAACCUUGGGGUGCAGCGUCAUGAUUUUGAUAACUUUUAAUGGCCACGGGGUGUAGAUUGGCCUGAGCAAAUGUGGUGCCGGUGGAACGAAAGCCUUCGGAGGAGUUAGCGAAAUUCCAAUGUGUGCGGAUCGGCAAAAAAUGCGAAAUAACCCUUUGACCGUACAUUUGACAGAUACGGCCGCACUAACUUUUUUGUAGAUCUUAUUGAGAUACAUAUGUGUGUCAAUUUUUGUGUCAAUAUGACAAAGCGUACAGGCGUGACAGUCAAUAGUGUGAAUUUCCACCUUAGGGGGCGCUAUGGAGCCAUUUUGCAUUUUAUUGUUUGGGCGACUUCAGAAUAUCGAAUUUUUCACCAGGCCCGGUCGUCCUGCCAAAUUUCAUGAGUUUUCGCCAGUGGGAAGUGGGCCAUUUUCCAGUUCAAAGGGGAGGAAAAAGAAGAAAGAAAGAAAGAAAGAAAGAAAGAAAGAAACAAAGAAAAACCACUUGGGGAAUAAUAGGGCCUACGCCCGGCUGCUCUGCAGCUGGCUCGGGCCCUAAAGAAAGAAAGAAACAAAGAAAAACCACUUGGGGAAUAAUAGGGCCUACGCCCGGCUGCUCUGCAGCUGGCUCGGGCCCUAAUAACUAGGACCCCGUUGGGGCACUGGCGGGCCCGAGCUGUGUCGCGUCCCCCCCCCCCAACGCGCUGCCUCCCCGUCCCAUUUGUGUCCUCUGGCCAUCGCCCUCUCUGGUAACGCCCAUCACUGCAAAGACCCUUUUCCUUCAUCGGCGUUUGCUGUUCUUCCUGCCAGUGCGUGUUGCUUUCACUUACACUUGCCACAGCCAGCCUCGUGAGUGCCUAGCCUAUUGGAUAUCACUGUCACCUACACAGGACAGUCAUUACCUUUCUAUUAAUACUUUGUUUUUUAAUUUCACAUUAAUUUCCAUAUUGUAUAAACAACUGGAAAAAACUUGAGCCCCUGCCCCUGUAUAAUCAUGUGCACGUCUCUGUUCUAGCUCUAAGGUGAAUCUUCACUGCUCAUGUUCUCCUCAGAAGCAGUCACCUCACUCCCCUCAGGUUACUGUACACAUGCACCAACUGCCUGCUUCAGGUUUGGAUGGAGCUUCAUGGUUGUCUUUUGGAGAAAAGACCAGUCAAGUUGUGUUUGAAAUAUGAUUUUUUUCAGGGGCAAAAGGAGCCUCUGCAUUCUUGUCAAAUAUGUAAAUAGCAUGUUUUUGCAGGUGCUAAAAACCAGACUCUGAGUGUGUGUGUGUGUGUGUGUGUCUGUGUGUGUGUGUGUGUGUGUGUGUGUGCGUGCGUGCGUGUGUAUGUGUGCGUUCAAGUCACAUGACAUAUUUAACCGGAUGUAGCUGCAAGACGGAGCCUCGUUGACUCUCCGUUUCAAUUUAUCUCAAAAGUGAGGACCUCAACCUAUAUACCAGUUUUUAAAUUGUGUUGAUAGGCCAAAUAAAACCAGAGUUAUGAUAAAUUAUGUCCACGAUACUUGUUUUCUGCUUAUUUUGAUCACGUUCGGCGCUCGAUCGCGCUGUAUGAGACAGGAAAACAUAGCAUGCAGACAUUAGCGACAGGUCUUACAGGCGGAAAAGGCUUGCCAAAGGAAAAAAAAAACACACCACAACAUCUCUCCUAUUGGUGGAAAACUUCACCACAACAACCAAUCCAAUGAUAAAAUAACUGUAAAUUCGCACAGGUGAGGUUGUGCUGAAAAAAAUGAUACCA